UGACUUCCCUACUCCUACUGGCAAAACUAUGUUAACACAGAGUUAACUAUGUUAAUUGCAGGGCCAAACUGCUGUGCUGCUCAUCAUGUGGAUUCUGAUCUGAAACAAAAGCCCAGAUCAAGCAGGUUGCUGAGAUCAUCCAGGUGCACCACAUUAGCUCACUAAGGGAAGUGGCUGAUAGAGCUUAAAAGAAAUAGUGUGGUUGGAUGAGAGAGGAGCUAGUGGUGAAAAGAGGCCUAGUGCAGCAGAAGGGCCUGAUCACUCAGAUGUGCAUGCAAGAUACUUGUAUGUCAACAAGACGCCAGCUGGAGGUCAACGUAUGUCUAAUGCCUCUGCCCAGCUAA
rnacentral:lncRNA from 1 species